GAGUUCAGACGUGCUACAAUGGUAUAUACAAUAAGAAGCAAAUAUGAGAGUAUAAGCAAGUAAUUUUUUAAAAUAUAUCUAAAUUCAGAUUAUUCUCUGCAAGUCGAGAAUAUGAAGUUGAAAUCGCUAGUAAUCGUGUAUAAGAAUGGCACGGUGAAGAGGCAUAAGAAUCUAGUACACACCGCCCGUCACGCCAGGGAAAAUAGUUUUGUUUGAAAAUAAUGGAAUAGAUAUAGUAAUUUAUGCAUACUAAAAUAAAUAAGUAAUUUUAGUAAAUUAAAAAUAUUAUAAAACCUAAUCUUUAUUGACGGCAAAAUUUUGGACCAAGGUGAAGUCGUAACACGGUAGUGGUAGGGGAACCUGUUGCUGGA
rnacentral:rRNA from 1 species